GUUGAAUGGGAUUCCUAAAAAUCCCAUAUCAAACUGCUCAGUAACACAUGAUCAACUUGCCCUAUGGAGGACAAUAACCUCGGGAAACUGAGGAUAAUAGUCCAUAGUUGAUUAGGCUUGGAAAAGUUUUUCAAUGAAUGGAAUAAGAAAAAUGGUUCUUAUUUGCCAUAGGAUAGGAUCGUGCUCGAUUAUGGUUGUUGGUGAGGUAAAGGCUCACCAAGCCGAUAAUCGAUAGGGGCCGUGAGAGCGGUUGCCCCGAGAUGGGUACUGAGAUAACGACCCAGGCCUUACGAGGCGCAGCAGGCGCGAAACCUCAUCACUACACGAAAGUGUGAAUGGGUUACCCAAAGUGUCCUUAUUGGACUGUGGUAGGUGAGUAAUGUUCCCUACUAAAAAGGAGAGGGCAAGGCUGGUGCCAGCCGCCGCGGUAAAACCAGCUCUUCAAGUGGUCGGGAUAAUUAUUGGGCUUAAAGUGUCCGUAGCCGGUAUGGUAAGUUCCUGGUAAAAUCGGGUAGCUUAACUAUCUGUGUGCUAGGAAUACUGCUAUACUANAAGGGCGGGAGAAGUCUGAGGUACUACCG
rnacentral:rRNA from 1 species